rnacentral:lncRNA from 1 species
AUAUUAACCUUGACUUGCUACAGUGAAGGAUUACGAAGAACGAAGAAUUGUAAUUGUCGCAUGACGAAAGCACUUCCUUCUUUUUGCGAAUGUAAUGUCUGCUUCAUACUGAAGUCUAUGGAAUUGGUAAUCCCCUUUCCUCUUAACCCUUCGUAGCAAAGUGAAGUGCUGUGUUGCAAUGAAGCUUGUUGGAACUGCAAUGCAAAGCAAUUAAAUGCGUUAGCAUUCUAUCGCAAACACUAUUCAAUCAUCGAAGUGUUCAGAGAAGAAAGGAAGGAGACUUGACUGAUAUACUUUUACGAUUGACACACUUUUGCAAUCGACUGAAGAAAUUUCCUUAUGAGCAAGCGCACCUGUAAAAAGUAAGUACCUAAGCAACAAGUCGUCCUUCUCAAUCAUAGAAUCACAGCUUCGGGCCCUUUCGACUUGUUUUAUGAAGAUUUUUCUUCUUUUUCAUGUGAAAGUAAAUUUUCAUACACUCGUCAGUCUUUCUCUAGUUGUUGUACCUUGUUCUUUUUUUUUUUUUUUUUUUUUGAAUUUGUACAUCUACCCUCAUCUCCACCCUUUGCAACAUGUCAUGCAAGUACAACGAUUAAGGGAUACUAAAACACUUUCCAGUAACUAACAAACACAUUUUCAUACUCAUAUAUUAUCCAUUAAUUGCUGUUACGUAUGGGCGGCACAAUAUCACUUACAUCUCAUGAAUUAGCGACAUGAAUGUGGAGAAGCUUGGGGAAAAAGAAUGCGACAAACCUUCCUACAACGUAGCCGUUUAUUUUCAUAGGAAUAGAUAGAAAUAGAAUUUAUUGAAACAUUCUUCAUUUGAAAAUGGGUUUUCAACAGACUUGGUAUUCUACCUUUACAAACUUAUUAUAUUUUCUUCUUUAUUGCUCCAUUUGUUAUAUUCACCAGCCCCAAUUUGAUGUAAC